AUGAUUCAUGCUAGUAUGAUUUCCCCAUGCGAUGAUUUACCCAUUUACGAUGAGUUUGUUGAUUGCCAUGUGGAGUCUAUUAGUUGUGACGCCAUGUUGCAUAGGAUCACUUGUGAUAAUUCUCUUGGUGACAUCAUGUUUGCCAAUCCACGUGACUUGUCAUAUGCUAUGCAUGAGAUCAAUCAUAUGUCAUAUUUGCAAUCUCUUCAUAGUGACUAUGCAUAUGCUAUUAAAAUAAACCCAAUUUGCACACAUGGCAUAGAUGACAAGCCUAUGGUUAUUGGCAUUUGUUUCUCCUGUGAUGAUAUUGACAUGCUUCCUUUGCACCAUUUAUCUCAUAUGCCAUGCCAUAGCCACCUAGCUUGA
rnacentral:rRNA from 1 species